GCCAGGUGUGGUGGUGCAGGCCUGUAGUCCCAGCUACUCGGAGGCUGAGGCAGGAGAAUUGCUUGAACCCAGGAGGUGGGGGUUGCAGUGAGCUGAGAUCAGCCACUGCACUCCAGCCUGGGUGACAGAGCAAGACUCCAUCUCAA
rnacentral:SRP_RNA from 1 species